UGAAUCUUUCUAUUUUUUUUCCCACGCUAGAAGUUGCAGUUUACGGAGCGUUCUUGUGCACAGUGCCCACUACUGUCUGCACUGAAAGCUCCCGGAUCUGUGAGGUAUUAGUGUGGGAAGACACCAAGUUUUAGUCUGCCCCCACUGGGAUGACUAAUUGGCUGGCUGGCUGGCCACCAGGCUGAACGGCUAACUGGGAACGGAGACGAGCUCCCCACAUAAAAGUCGCUGAUGCUGGCACACACAUGCGAGGGCCUGUGAGUCAUCUCGCCUCGUUUCCUACCUUUACUUGGGCCAAUGGAGGUUCAGAUGCUGGGUAAGAGGUGGCGCUGCAGCUGUCAGUCACCCUGGAGAUCAGCGGCUGCUGGAGCUUAUAUCCCCAGGUGACGGCCUGUGGUUGGACAGGUUCAUCUCUGCCUCCUUGUAAGCCUGCCCACUGGGCCCUGAACGGCCUUAUGGGUAACGCGUUCUGCUGAUCAUCCUAGCGCUUUGCCGUUCAGUUAAGCUGUCAGCAGCAGACUUGUAGAAUCGCCUUCUGCUGUCUUCAUAUAGGCUUCCUGUGUAAAAAAAAAAAAGAAGUAAAACAAUUCAUUUAAAUUUUAUUAGUUUUUGUGCUGAUGUCUCAAACGUCUUGUUGCUUGCUUGAAAUGCUUUAAGGUAAAUCCCUUCUAAUGUAAAAGGCUCCUUCAGAGCUAAUGCAAGAUAUUUAUCUGUAGUGUAAUUUAUGUAUACAGUCUAUUUACAGUUAUAUAAAUAUUAAUGCAUAAUAAGAAAUUGGCUACUUUGUGCUCUGUGCUGAUUUUAACUUUAUUUCCUUUUUCUCAUACCUCCACUAGCAGAAUCAGCUGAGCUAAAAGCAGCAUAGAGACCCAGUGUGACAAUGUUAGGUUGAGGAUCUGUCACAUCUGUGUAAUAACAAAGUGUCUGUUUUGGCAUUGAUGGGAGACAAUAAAGAGCUAAGAGUGAAA